rnacentral:lncRNA from 1 species
AAUAUGAUAUGUCAUAACAUGCUCCUCCUCUAAUAUCUCUUGAUGAGUUUACCUGGGUGGAUCACCCUUAGCAUCUGGUGUCAUAUACGGAUGUGACACUCCAAAACACUACUGGACAUAUCCUUAUGUAGAACUCCAAUCGUUAUGAGCUACGGUACCUUGUGCUUUAGUCGGUAUUAGAUGACUAAGGAAAUCAUCAUAUGUUGCAUCCAUAUUUAUGCUAACCACAGUAAAAAGAGAAGAUUCAUAGGGGUCUCUUGGAACAAAC